AGCUCCAGUAGCGUAUAUUAAAGUUGUUGCAGUUAAAAAGCUCGUAGUUGGAUUUCUGGCUUGACGAAACUGAUCCGCCGCGCUAGCGGUGUGUGUCGGGCUUCGUCUGCCAUCCUUCUAGAGACGUUUCUGCCCUUCACUGGGCCGGAUUCGCGUUCUAGAACAGUUACUUUGAAGAAAUUAGAGUGUUCAAAGCAGGCUUGCGCUGUGAAUACAUUAGCAUGGAAUAAUAAUUUAGGACUUCGGUUCUAUUUUGUUGGUUUCUAGGAUCGAAGUAAUGAUUGAUAGGGAUAGUUGGGGGUGCUAGUAUUAAGCGGCCAGAGGUGAAAUUCUUGGAUUCGCUUAAGACUAACUCAUGCGAAAGCAUUCACCAAGGAUGUCUUCUUUAAUCAAGAACGAA
rnacentral:rRNA from 1 species